rnacentral:rRNA from 1 species
UAAAUAGCCCCUCUCGCUUUGGCGGGUGGCAGGCUUCUUAGAGGGACUAUCGGCUCAAGCCGAUGGAAGUUUGAGGCAAUAACAGGUCUGUGAUGCCCUUAGAUAUCCUGGGCCGCACGGUAAGGCUAUAUCCCCCCAUUUUUUGGGACUCCACAUGCUAACUACUAUUACAGCGCGCUACACUGACAGAGCCAACGAGUUUAGUCCUUGACCGAAAGGUCUG